ensembl:lncRNA
CGCGGAUGUAGGGGUGGGGUUUAGGAGCCGAGCGGGAAGGCGGAGGCCGUGCUGUGGGCUCCUGGGGCUGGGGGUCGGCUCGGAAUCAGGAUCUUAUUAAUAAUUCCCCGACCAAGGAACCCACUCCCUCUGCAGAAGAAGCGUGGAGUCUUAACCACUGGACUGCCAGGUGCUAUUAUUACAGAGGGAGCGCAGCCCACCCUGAGUUAGUAGUCCCUCAGCCUCCUCUACCCGAGGCAGCCUGAAGGCUUGGGGGCUGGAGCAAGACCUCUCGGAACCCUCAGUUGCUAUGGUAAUAACAGCCAUAGUAAAAAAUCACUUACUAUGGGCCAGGUACCCUUUGUUCUGAGAACAGCAGUUCUCAAAGGGGUUCAGAAACUUGGGGGCCACUGAGACCCUUCCAGGGGGGUCCAUCAGACUGAACUGUUUCAUUUUUUUAAAUAAAUAUUUGAUACUACUUUAAAACAUUAUUUUUAGCCUGUGGGAAUCUUUGUUCCUUGACCAGGGAUAGAAGCCAUACCCCCUGCAUCGGAAGUAGAGCAUCUUAACCACUGGACCACUGGGGAAGUCCCUGAACUAUUUAAAAAUAUUUUUUCUUUGAACUAUUUUUAAUAUUAAUGUUAAGAUGUCCUUUGCCUCUGUCACUUUUUUUCUCUCACAUGUGUGUGGUGGAGUUUCCAGGGGAGAGUCCCUGUUGCAACAGGUGGGAUGCAGAAUCAGAUGUGAGAAUCCAGUUGUCUUCUGUUCACUGGACAUGGAAGAGAUGCAAAAUUGGAAAACAAUGUCUCUCUUUUUAUGGAAUAUUUUUGUUUUGGAAAAGGUGGUUAUUUUUCAUUAAAAAUGUUAUUUGUUAUCGUGAGUAGAUGGAUUGUGAUUUAAAAACUAACAGUUUUUAAAAUUAGCAGUUUUAUUUUUUUUGUUUUAAUCUACAAAUGGCAAAUAUCAGUAGCUAUA